CACACUGAUAGCAUUAGCGGCAUGGCACAAUCAGGAACCCGCCAGAAAUUUUUUUUACCAUUCACUUACCCAUUAGAAAUAACGACAACCUUUACACCCAAAUAAGCGCGCAUUUAAUUCCGCACUGCCUUCGAUGAAGUGUCUUUAAUCAAAGAUUUGUUGACAGCUCACUGGUAAAUGGUGUAGUAUUCGCUUGUGACAAGCGCUCCAAAUUCACCACAAUGAGCUUUGAAAGAAACAACUAGGAAAUAGAUUAGUGCAGCAUUCAGUCUUCGGGCAAAUGUUAAAUGUGAAAACCAUCAUCUGCAUGACAGCUCAGGCCAAUGUGAUCCUAGAAGGAAAAAUGGAGACAAGUUUACACUUUACAGGGAUUUUACAAGUAUUUAACAUGAAAAAUAGGGCAGACUUAUAAAAACAAAUAGAUAUAUUGCUACAAUAAUUUACAUUAGUUUAAACGCUUGACUCCACAUGUUUUGAUCUGACAAUGUCCUUGCAAAGAUUCCUGAUGAUGAAGAAAGAUGUGACUGUUGCUGAAUCACAGCAUGAGCUAAAGUCAUAAACAGACAGAAAUGGACCUAGUUUGUUUAUAGAAUUAUUCACAUGUACUGGACUGACUGUUUGGCAGCACUCAUCCUGUGAUUAGUGGAAUGACCAUGUUUAUGUCUCUUCUAGACUUUAGGAUCAUCAAAGCCUUAUGUAUCAUCCAGGAGUAUUGUAAGAAGAAUCGCCAGAAGCCUACCUCUGGCGCCAUGUCCUCGUAUCCACUUUCAGGUAUGAGUAGUGGAUGAGUUUCAUGUUAAUUUAAAUGUGUCUGUCACGUAGACAUGCAUAUCAGGCCAGCAUGUAAAAUAUGCCUGAUUUACAAUUUAUUCCUCAUAGUUUGUGGCAUGGUUUCAACAGUAAUGGAAAUUGUUUUAAAGCACAAAAAUAUGUAAAGUGUUGCUUCAACAUACUUGUUUGUGUAUGUUUUAAAUAUCGACUGUCAUGUAUUUCCAUUUAUUGUCUAAUGUAAGUAGUCCCCCCAACAUUUAAUUGUAUUAUAUCAUUCCAUUGUGUUUGUAAUGUUAUUGUUUUUCUAUUUGCACUGUGUGCUCCUUUAAAUCUGGUCAAUCUUUGACUUUCUUAGUCUUUGACAUUCAGUUCACCCAUAUCAACAGAUUUCUGUCCUCUUGUCUGUUUUGAUAUCAUUAUAGUGCUGAGAAUAAACAAUCUUGAAUAAUGGGGUACAGGUUUUAUUUCUCACAAUCUAAUGUAGCCUUUUCUAACUUGGUAACAUUUAACAUCAAUUAAUUAAAUAUGCAAUGAUAUCAAACACACCUUGAAACUUUUAUUGCUGUCUUUGUGUUUCUCUUUUCUCUAUUGCCCUUCUUUCCAGCAUGUCUGCUUUAGGUCAGUUCUGUCUCAUUUUUGGAAGUCUUGGCCAAGAAACCUUUAAAUAGCUUAAAACGCUGCAUUUAUCUAAUAAAAUAGUUAAUGCUUAGUGCUUAUAAAGUAUAAUGCUCUGUUUCUCUAUAUAACGGAGAUGAAUAUCAUUGUAAAUCUUUACACUCUUAUUGCACAUGAAGCACUUUAAAGGAAUGUUCCGGAUUCAGUACAAGUUAAGCUCAGUCGACAGCAGUUGUGGCAUAAUGUCAUUGAGAUCUUUAUGCUUGACCAUUUUUCCUGCUUCCAACACAUGAAAUUCAAGAACUGACUGUUCACUUUAUGCCUAAUAUAUCCCAUCCCUUGACAGGUGACAUUGUUUCAAGAUAAUAAAUAAUUUGCUUAACCUGUCGUUUUCCCCCUUGUUAUUGUUGGGAUUUUGGUUGCACAAUAAACUGCACCUGGGAUUUUGCUCAUUUUGACUCUUGCAGCCUCUAUGUCUGUGACCGUCUUGGUAAGAAGAACAUUUUUCAACAUUCUACAAGUCGAUUUUUAAAAAACUAUUGGCUGAUUAUUCGGUUAUCUGCCUUUUCCACCACCAUAGUUAUCGAUAUAGUGGCAAAAUCCACUAUUGGUCUACCUCUACUCAUAAUAUUUAUAAAGUCAGUUAUUUAACCUAUUUUGCCUUAUGUUGAAGCUCAAGGUGGCCCUCCUGUCCCCAUGGCUCCAGUUCCACCCCCUCCACCUUGGAGAGGAGCUAUUCCGUCAUUGAACUCAUCAAAGAGCGGCGUGGGAAAAAGUCAGACCAGAACAAAAUACUGGAACUAGGAUCCAAUAAGCCAGAGGUGCCCAAUAUGUUAGACGUGCUGAAAGACAUGGGGAAAGUGAAGCUGUGCUCAGUUAAGAGAUGCUGCAGCACUGAUUGCCGAGGCACUGAAACAAAAGUUUGCUGUAGUGACAGCGAGUGUGAAAGCAGCUUUAACUUAUCAGCCCCUGAGAACAAGUCCCAUGUGGAAGCACCACUGUUUGGACAGCAUAUUUUUAAAUCAACUGGAAGGAGGAAACUGUACUAAGAUGGACACAGAAUCUACUCUUCUGAGCCCUGUUGCUGUUAGAAGGUUAACCAGAUAACUUUUGAUUCCAACUAGUGAGCUAGAUGUUUUAGUUUUUUUUUGGCUCUCAAAAUCUUGUUUGUAUUUUUGUAAAUGAGCAUGCACAUACCAAAACAUAAUGAAGUCUAUCCAGUUUCCCUAUUGUUGUGUAUCUUUGUAAUUUUGCCCUUUGAAGAGUUCAUCUCUCUGCAAAUGUUGUACCUCUGUGGUCUCAUUGCAUGCUAGUUCCAUUUUGCCAGUGAUAUGAAAAAUGCUGUUUAUUAUUAUUCGAUUUUAUGUAAGAUUGUGUUUUUAGUUGGAUGUUUAAGGUCUAUAGAGCUCUUUGUGCACACUUGAAUUUCUUGAUAAAGGGCUAGUUAUUGAAAGCAAGCACCAAAAGUAUAUUGACUUUUCUGGUUGCCUUAAUAGUAGCAUUUUGGUAUUCAGAACACCUGUUGUCUUUUUGCUUUAAAAGGUACAAUUCAUAAUUCAUAAGUACUACUUGGCGCCAAGAUGUUACGAUCAGUUUUGAAUGCUUUUCUUUCUGUCAGGCUAUAUAGCCUGUCUGUAGGAACAGUUAUGCUGCAUCACACCUUCAAACAUCUGUGAUCAUAAUAGGGAAUAGAAGGUGCGAUUUCAGUACUAUACACACACACGUGUCGAGAGAUUAUAUUAUAUAUUUAUAUCUUUGCAAAUUUGUUAAAAUAAAAAACGAAAAUGAAUAAAAAAAAAAAAAGAAUCACAUGUACAUAAGUAUUCACAGCCUUGGCCAUGACACUCAAAAUUGAGCUCAGGUGCAUCCUGUUUCCACUGAUCAUUCCUUGAUGUUUCUUCAACUUGAUUGGAGUCCACCUGUGGUAAAUUCAGUUGAUUGGACAUGAUUUGGAAAGGCAUGUCUACAUAAGGUCCCACAGUUAACAGUUCAUAGAACAAACCAAGCCAUGAAGUCCAAGGAAUUGUCUGUAGACCUCCGAGACAGGAUUGUAUUGAGGCACAGAUAUGGGGAAGGGUACAGAAAAAGUUCUGCAGCAUUGAAUGUCCCAAUGAGCAGAGUGGCCUCCAUCAUCCGUAAAUGGAAGUUUGGAAGCACCAGGACUCUUCUCCCCAAACUGAGCAAUUGGGGGAGAAGGGCCUUAGUGAGGUGACCAAGAACCUGAUGGUCACUCUGACAGAGCUCCAGCGUUUCUCGGUGUUGAGAGGAGAACCUUCCAGAAGAACAACCAUCUCUGCAGCAAUCAGGCCUGUAUGGUAGAGUUGCCAGUCGGAAGCCACUCCUCAGUAAAAGGCACAUGACAGCCCGUCUGGAGUUUGCCAAAAGGCACCUGAUGGACUCGGAACAUGAGAAACAAAAUUCUCUGGUGUGAUGAAACAAAGAUUUUACUCUUUGACCUGAAAGCAUCAUGUCUGGAGGAAACCAGGCGUCGCUCAUCACUUGGCCAAUACCAUCCCUACAGUGAAGAAUGGUGGUGGCAGCAUCAUGCUGUGGGAAUGUUUUUCAGCGGAAGGAACUGAGAGACUAGUCAGGAUCGAGGGAAAGAUGAAUGCAGCAAUGUACAGAGAUAUACUUGAUGAAAACCUGCUCCAGAGUGCUCUGGACCUCAGACUGGGGUGAAGGUUCAUCUUCCAACAGGACAACAAGCCGAAGCACACAGCCAAGAUAACAAAGGAGUGGCUACGGGAUAACUAUGUGAAUGUCCUUGAGUGGCCCAGCCAGAGCCCAGACUUGAACAUCUCUGGAGAGAUCUGAAAAUGGCUGUGCGCCGACGCUCCCCAUCCAACCUGAUGGAGCUUGAGAGGUCCUGCAAAGAAGAAUGGGGGAAACUGCCCAAAAAUAGGUGUGCCAAGCUUGUAGCAUCAUACUCAAAAAGACUUGAAGCUGUAAUUGGUGCCAAAGAUGCUUCAACAAAGUAUUGAGCAAAGGCUGUGAAUACUUGUAAAUGUGAUUUUUUUUUUUUUUUUUAAUAAAGAAAUUUGCAAAGAUUUCAAACAAACUUUUCACGUUGUCAUUAUGGGGUAUUGUUUGUAGAAUUUUGAGGAAAAUAAUUAAUUGAAUCCAUUUUGGAAUAAGGCUGUAACAUAAGAAAAAGUGAAGAGCUUUGAAUACUUUCCAGAUGCACUGUAGUUGUUUUGUGUAAGACUGACAUACGAAAACACAGUAUCUACAAAUAUAUUAAGCUUUCCAUCACUGUACCAUAUUUGCCGUUUAUCCUCACCAUAUCAUGAAAAUUGUGUUGUCAGUGUUUAGACCUUUAAAAUGUUUGUUUCUUUGCACACUUAAAUGUAAUCUUCACAGAACAACAAACCUACUUUACCUACCUUAAGGCCAGUGUGUUAGCAUUAUACUUUAAUGUAGUAGAAUCUACCAUUUUAAGCCAUUUUAAAGUAAUCCAAUAUGUUGCAAGCACAUGGAAGCAAAAACUUUUUUUUUUUUUAUUACCGUUGCAAUAAUUAAGUGGGGUAAUUUUUUAUUUUUUCACACUAAACAGCUGUUUAAAUGAACUUUAAUUUCUUGAAUUUUAUUC